CCACACCUGUGGUGCAAAUAGCCGCGGAAUCACUUCUAUAAACAGCUGCAGAGCGAACUGAUAAAAGGCUGGGAGAAAGUAUACACAAGAUGAAGAACCAAGCAAUGGUGUUUGCAUGAAGCCAAUCCCACUAGGCCUCACUCUGCGAUGUCCUUGACUCUUAGAAGAAUCCUUUGUGUGUGCCUACUUAAUGUGACGAUG